GAUGAACGCUGGCGGCGUGCUUAACACAUGCAAGUCGAACGGAAAGGCCCAAGCUUGCUUGGGUACUCGAGUGGCGAACGGGUGAGUAACACGUGGGUGAUCUGCCCUGCACUUCGGGAUAAGCCUGGGAAACUGGGUCUAAUACCGGAUAGGACCACAUUUUGGAUGGUGUGGUGGAAAGUUUUUCGGUGUGGGAUGAGCUCGCGGCCUAUCAGCUUGUUGGUGGGGUAAUGGCCUACCAAGGCGUCGACGGGUAGCCGGCCUGAGAGGGUGUACGGACACAUUGGGACUGAGAUACGGCCCAGACUCCUACGGGAGGCAGCAGUGGGGAAUAUUGCACAAUGGGCGCAAGCCUGAUGCAGCGACGCCGCGUGGGGGAUGACGGCCUUCGGGUUGUAAACUCCUUUCGCUAGGGACGAAGCGUUUUUGUGACGGUACCUGGAGAAGAAGCACCGGCUAACUACGUG
rnacentral:rRNA from 1 species